UUGAAAGGGAAACGAUUGAAGUCAGUCGUACCUGCGGGUAAUCAGCCUUUUGGGCAUGAUUCUGUGGAGCGUGAGGAGUUAAACGCCUUCAUGCCUGCAUAUUCGUGUACUUUGGGUGUACUUGCCCGCGUGGUUAGUUAACAUCAAUUUUGGUUAUCAUAAAAUGGCUGGAGGAAUGUAGCUUCGAUUUCGAUUGAAGUGUUAUAGCCUUCGGCAGAUGUGAUGAUCGGGAUUGAGGAUUGCAACGGAUACCCUUCGGGCUACCUGUCUGAUCUCUGAUCGUUGCUCUGGUGCCGAGAGCGUGCUUACGGUUAUCAAAGUCGAUGGUUAAUAGGUUAGAACGGGUUAAAUUCGUUAAGGAUGUUGACGUA
rnacentral:rRNA from 2 species